rnacentral:rRNA from 1 species
UCUCCUGGAAACGGGUGGUAAUGCCGGAUGUUCCACAUGAUCGCAUGUGAUUGUGGGAAAGAUUCUAUCGGCGUGGGAUGGGGUCGCGUCCUAUCAGCUUGUUGGUGAGGUAACGGCUCACCAAGGCUUCGACGGGUAGCCGGCCUGAGAGGGCGACCGGCCACAUUGGGACUGAGAUACGGCCCAGACUCCUACGGGAGGCAGCAGUGGGGAAUAUUGCACAAUGGGCGCAAGCCUGAUGCAGCGACGCCGCGUGAGGGAUGGAGGCCUUCGGGUUGUAAACCUCUUUUGUUUGGGAGCAAGCCUUCGGGUGAGUGUACCUUUCGAAUAAGCGCCGGCUAACUACGUGCCAGCAGCCGCGGUAAUACGUAGGGCGCAAGCGUUAUCCGGAUUUAUUGGGCGUAAAGGGCUCGUAGGCGGCUCGUCGCGUCCGGUGUGAAAGUCCAUCGCUUAACGGUGGAUCUGCGCCGGGUACGGGCGGGCUGGAGUGCGGUAGGGGAGACUGGAAUUCCCGGUGUAACGGUGGAAUGUGUAGAUAUCGGAAAGAACACC